AACACAUGCAAGUCGAGGGGCAGCAUUUUCCUUUGCUUGCAAACUGAAGAUGGCGACCGGCGCACGGGUGAGUAACACGUAUCCAACCUGCCGAUAACUCCGGGAUAGCCUUUCGAAAGAAAGAUUAAUACCGGAUAGCAUACGAAUAUCGCAUGAUAUUUUUAUUAAAGAAUUUCGGUUAUCGAUGGGGAUGCGUUCCAUUAGUUUGUUGGCGGGGUAACGGCCCACCAAGACUACGAUGGAUAGGGGUUCUGAGAGGAAGGUCCCCCACAUUGGAACUGAGACACGGUCCAAACUCCUACGGGAGGCAGCAGUGAGGAAUAUUGGUCAAUGGGCGCGAGCCUGAACCAGCCAAGUAGCGUGAAGGAUGAAGGCUCUAUGGGUCGUAAACUUCUUUUAUAUGGGAAUAAAGUUUUCCACGUGUGGAAUUUUGUAUGUACCAUAUGAAUAAGGAUCGGCUAACUCCGUGCCAGCAGCCGCGGUAAUACGGAGGAUCCGAGCGUUAUCCGGAUUUAUUGGGUUUAAAGGGAGCGUAGGUGGAUUGUUAAGUCAGUUGUGAAAGUUUGCGGCUCAACCGUAAAAUUGCAGUUGAAACUGGCAGUCUUGAGUACAGUAGAGGUGGGCGGAAUCCGUGGUGUAGCGGUGAAAUGCUUAGAUAUCACGAAGAACUCCGAUUGCGAAGGCAGCUCACUAGACUGUCACUGACACUGAUGCUCGAAAGUGUGGGUAUCAAACAGGAUUAGAUACCCUGGUAGUCCACACAGUAAACGAUGAAUACUCGCUGUUUGCGAUAUACAGUAAGCGGCCAAGCGAAAGCAUUAAGUAUUCCACCUGGGGAGUACGCCGGCAACGGUGAAACUCAAAGGAAUUGACGGGGGCCCGCACAAGCGGAGGAACAUGUGGUUUAAUUCGAUGAUACGCGAGGAACCUUACCCGGGCUUAAAUUGCAACAGAAUAUAUUGGAAACAGUAUAGCCGUAAGGCUGUUGUGAAGGUGCUGCAUGGUUGUCGUCAGCUCGUGCCGUGAGGUGUCGGCUUAAGUGCCAUAACGAGCGCAACCCUUAUCUUUAGUUACUAACAGGUCAUGCUGAGGACUCUAGAGAGACUGCCGUCGUAAGAUGUGAGGAAGGUGGGGAUGACGUCAAAUCAGCACGGCCCUUACGUCCGGGGCUACACACGUGUUACAAUGGGGGGUACAGAAGGCGGCUACCUGGUGACAGGAUGCUAAUCCCAAAAACCUCUCUCAGUUCGGAUCGAAGUCUGCAACCCGACUUCGUGAAGCUGGAUUCGCUAGUAAUCGCGCAUCAGCCAUGGCGCGGUGAAUACGUUCCCGGGCCUUGUACACACCGCCCGUCAAGCCAUGAAAGCCGGGGGUACCUGAAGUACGUACCCGAAAGGAGCGUCCUAGGGUAAAACUGGUAAUUGGGGC
rnacentral:rRNA from 1 species